rnacentral:rRNA from 1 species
UAGGGAAUCUUCGGCAAUGGACGAAAGUCUGACCGAGCAACGCCGCGUGAGUGAAGAAGGUUUUCGGAUCGUAAAACUCUGUUGUUAGAGAAGAACAAGGACGUUAGUAACUGAACGUCCCCUGACGGUAUCUAACCAGAAAGCCACGGCUAACUACGUGCCAGCAGCCGCGGUAAUACGUAGGUGGCAAGCGUUGUCCGGAUUUAUUGGGCGUAAAGCGAGCGCAGGCGGUUUCUUAAUUCUGAUGUGAAAGCCCCCGGCUCAACCGGGGAGGGUCAUUGGAAACUGGGAGACUUGAGUGCAGAAGAGGAGAGUGGAAUUCCAUGUGUAGCGGUGAAAUGCGUAGAUAUAUGGAGGAACACCAGUGGCGAAGGCGGCUCUCUGGUCUGUAACUGACGCUGAGGCUCGAAAGCGUGGGGAGCAAACAGG